GACGAACGCUGGCGGCGUGCCUAAUACAUGCAAGUAGAACGCAGUUGCGAACGGGUGAGUAACGUGUAGGUAACUGCCUCAUAGCGGGGGAUAACUAUCGGAAACGAUAGCUAAUACCGCAUACUGUGAGCUGGAUCUGCGUUGUAUUAGCUAGUUGGUGGGGUAAAGGGUCACCAAGGCGACGAUACAUUGCCGACCUUAGACGGUGGUCGGCCAAACUGGGACUGAGACACGGCCCAGACUCCUGCGGGUGGCAGCAGUAGGGAAUCUGCGGCAAUGGACGGAAGUCUGACCGAGCAACGCCGCGUGAGUGAAGAAGGUUUUCGGGUCGUUAAGCUCUGUUGUUAGAGAAGCGGUACCUAACCAGGAAGGGACGGCUAACUACGUGCCAGCAGCCGCGGUAAUUC
rnacentral:rRNA from 1 species